AUGCACGCUGGCGGCGUGCCUAAUACAUGCAAGUCGAGCGCACAGACGAGGAGCUUGCUCCUCUGACGUUAGCGGCGGACGGGUGAGUAACACGUGGAUAACCUACCUAUAAGACUGGGAUAACUUCGGGAAACCGGAGCUAAUACCGGAUAAUAUAUUGAACCGCAUGGUUCAAUAGUGAAAGACGGUUUUGCUGUCACUUAUAGAUGGAUCCGCGCCGCAUUAGCUAGUUGGUAAGGUAACGGCUUACCAAGGCAACGAUGCGUAGCCGACCUGAGAGGGUGAUCGGCCACACUGGAACUGAGACACGGUCCAGACUCCUACGGGAGGCAGCAGUAGGGAAUCUUCCGCAAUGGGCGAAAGCCUGACGGAGCAACGCCGCGUGAGUGAUGAAGGUCUUCGGAUCGUAAAACUCUGUUAUUAGGGAAGAACAAAUGUGUAAGUAACUAUGCACGUCUUGACGGUACCUAAUCAGAAAGCCACGGCUAACUACGUG
rnacentral:rRNA from 1 species